UUCCACCCCCUUCAAUUUCCCAGGGGUUUGGUGAGACAGGGAAAAAAGUGCUGUGAAAGGCUUUCCCCUUCCCUUCCAAAGUAUAAGCCCCUGGGGUCCCCGGCAGGGAUUUGGCAACCACAGGAAUGUGUGGGAAUACACAAGACUUCAGGACAGGGCUUAGGAGUGUAUGUUGUGAGAAAUAUCUCAUUGAGGACUUUUGGCAUCACACUCACCCCAAGUCUCAGGGCAAAACUGCUCAUACCAGCCCCCCAUAUCCCGAUUUCUCUCAGGUGCAUGUCCUUGUUUUCAGCAGCCUGAAACAAGGGCGUGCCCAGAGUCCCCGGCAAGGGAUGAGCACAGCGCUGCGUAUUUGCUGAUAUUGUGCCUUUUAGGGCGUGAAGGAGUUAAACUUUUCAGAUGGAAAGCGAACUGAAGAUCAGACUAGCAGCCUGGUGACCUCCCGCUGCUGGGACAGCAGCAGCUCCCAGCCAAGCCCAGCAGUUCCAUCCAUCCAUCCAUCCAUCGGCACGGUGGGGCGGCAGCGGACGGUGCUGCAGCUCGCAACCACAUCUGGCUUUGACCUUCUCAGCAGAUCAGGAUCCCGAAGCCCUUCACUACAAGGAGCGAGCACUGAAGAAGGAGCAGGCUGCAAGAACACGAGAGGGCUGCCCGCAGAUUUUGGGCUGUUGCAAGAAGAUACCAGACAAUAACUUAAGAAAAUCUGCCCACUGGAAUCUGAGGUUCAGAAGUGCUAAUGGCCAGGAUAAUGUGUUAUUUAUUGCAAACAGGCAUCUGCAGUGGCCUUAAAGGCCUGGGUGUCUGACUGCCCUGCUACAUGCAUCAAAACCCCUCUUCAGAGUCUCAGUCCUCUGUCUCCAAAGCCAAACAAUGAUGGUAUCACAUUCGCU